GACGAACGCUGGCGGCGUGCUUAACACAUGCAAGUCGAACGCUGAAGCACCAGCUUGCUGGUGUGGAUGAGUGGCGAACGGGUGAGUAAUACGUGAGUAACCUGCCCUUGACUCUGGGAUAAGCCCGGGAAACUGGGUCUAAUACUGGAUGCUACAUGUCACCGCAUGGUGGUGUGUGGAAAGGGUUUACUGGUCUUGGAUGGGCUCACGGCCUAUCAGCUUGUUGGUGAGGUAAUGGCUCACCAAGGCGACGACGGGUAGCCGGCCUGAGAGGGUGACCGGCCACACUGGGACUGAGACACGGCCCAGACUCCUACGGGAGGCAGCAGUGGGGAAUAUUGCACAAGGGGCGAAAGCCUGAUGCAGCGACGCCGCGUGAGGGAUGACGGCCUUCGGGUUGUAAACCUCUUUCAGCAGGGAAGAAGCCACAAGUGACGGUACCUGCAGAAGAAGCGCCGGCUAACUACGUG
rnacentral:rRNA from 1 species